rnacentral:rRNA from 1 species
GUCUAUGGCCACGCCACCCUGAACAAGCCUGGAGUCUGGUCUCGGAAGCUAAGCAGGGUCGGGCCUGGUUAGUACUUGGAUGGGAGACCACCUAGGAAGACCAGGUGCUGUAGGUG